rnacentral:rRNA from 1 species
AGUGAACGCUGGCGGUAGGCCUAACACAUGCAAGUCGAACGGCAGCACAGUAAGAGCUUGCUCUUACGGGUGGCGCGUGGCGGACGGGUGAGGAAUACAUCGGAAUCUACUUUUUCGUGGGGGAUAACGUAGGGAAACUUACGCUAAUACCGCAUACGACCUACGGGUGAAAGCAGGGGAUCUUCGGACCUUGCGCGAUUGAAUGAGCCGAUGUCGGAUUAGCUAGUUGGCGGGGUAAAGGCCCACCAAGGCGACGAUCCGUAGCUGGUCUGAGAGGAUGAUGAGCCACACGGGAACUGAGACACGGUCCAGACUCCGACGGGAGGCAGAAGAGGGGAAUAUUGGACAAUGGGCGCAAGCUUGAGCCAGCCAUACCGCGGAGGUGAAGAAGGCCUGCGAGUUGUAAAGCCCUUUUGUUGGGAAAAAAAAGCAGCAGGUUAAUACCCCGCUGUUCUGACGGAACCAAAAGAAUAAGCACCGGCAAACUUCGU